GGGCCCAGGCCCUACGGGGCGCACCAGGCGCGAAUACUCCGCAAUGCGGGCAACCGCGACGGGGCUACCCCGAGUGCCGGGCGAAGAGCCCGGCUUUUGCCCGGUCUAAAACGCCGGGAGAAUAAGCGGGGGGCAAGUCUGGUGUCAGCCGCCGCGGUAAUA
rnacentral:rRNA from 1 species